rnacentral:lncRNA from 1 species
GUUCUCGCGAGAAGGAGCUCCCAAACAUGGCUGCCGCCAGUGUCUGUGUUUCUGGAAGGAGCUGCAGGCGACUCCCCCACCACCUCUCCAGGAGCCUCUCCAAGACCCGCAGUUGCUGUUGUGUUCCAGUGUUAUGCCCGACCCAAUGCAGCCUCAGUGACAACAGCAAGAAGAUGAAGCCAGGCCUGGGAGGGCAGAACUGAGAGAUGCAAGGAACCUGGCUUCCAGAGCAUGCUUCAAAAUCCCCGAACUCUCUCUGUAUCCUGACUGUUGUUGCUCAACAUAUAUUGAAUUGGGGCUUCUUUUACUUACAGCUAAGUUUAUACUAACUUAUGGCAUCC